rnacentral:rRNA from 1 species
CGGCGGACGGGUGAGUAACGCGUGGGGAACCUGCCCUAUACAGGGGGAUAACAGUUAGAAAUGACUGCUAAUACCGCAUAAGCGCACGGAGCCGCAUGGCGCUGAGUGAAAAACGAUAGUGGUAUAGGAGGGACCCGCGUCUGAUUAGGUAGUUGGUGGGGUAACGGCCCACCAAGCCGACGAUCAGUAGCCGACCUGAGAGGGCGGACGGCCACAUUGGGACUGAGACACGGCCCAGACUCCUACGGAAGGCAGCAG